rnacentral:lncRNA from 1 species
GUUAAUUAUCGGUCAGGCGCAGUGACUCACACCUGUAAUCCCAGCAUUUUGGGAGUCCGAGGCAGGCGGAUCACCUGAGGUUGGAAGUUCAAGACCAGCCUGACCAACAUGGAGAAAACCCACCUCUACUAAAAAUACAAAAUUAGUCAGGCGUGGUGGUGCAUGCCUGUAAUCCCAGCUACUUUGGAGGCUGAGGUGGGAGAAUUGCUUGAACCUGGGAGGCGGAGGUUGCAGUGAGCCGAGAUUGGGCCAUUCCACUCCAGCCUGGGCAACAAGAGUGAAACUAUGUCUCAAAAAAAAAAAGUUAAUUCUCAGUCACCUAUAAGUCCAAAAUAGGUGUUCCUGGCCUGAUGUCUUUUCUCUAAAUAGUGACGCAGACAUCUAGGUCUUCUCUAUCUUUUGGUGACCAUCCAUCUUGCAGGGCCAGAAGCUGAGAUAGGAAGUAUUUUAGUUAACUUUUACUGUGUAAUAAAUUACCCCUAGAUUUAGAAGCUUAAAAAGACAUGCACAUGAGCUGUCUAUUCAUUUUCUUUGCUGCACAGUCUGACAUUGGGAUUGUUUACCUUGAUGGCCAGAUGGGCUGCUUUUUCCAAAGUAGCUUUGCAGUUCUUGGAAGAGACAUGAUGAACAAUCUUAAUGCAGCAAGAUUUGCUGCACAUCACAUCUGGGGCUGCAUUCAUCUCAAAGCUCAACUGGAAGAGGAUUUACUUGCAAGCUCACUUCCACCACAGUGUCAGAAAGAAGAUUGGACUCACAGUGGAGAGAAAAGGAGGCUAAGAAGAUACUGAAAUGAGCUGAGUAUAUUUUUAAUAGCUUCUAACUGUAAUUUCUCUCUUGACUUCUGGACACAGAUUUGUCAAAGAAGCCACAGUUAGAAUAGGACAAACUGUGAGUUUCAGUAACUUCAUUCAGAUUAGGGGUAGAGAAAUGGUCUCAGGGAUUUAACUCUGGGAAGGCAUUCCUGAUCUUCAGACAUAACUAAGCCAUGCCAUGGAUUUAAUUCAGUCAAAACGUUUUACGUUGAACCGUUUAACUGGAAGUGGAUACAUUAUUUUGUGGAUUCAAUUGUUCCCAAAAGCCUGGUACUGUGAGACAUUCCGUCAUAAGUCG